CACACCCCAGCUGCACUGCGCCUCCCCUAUUCUCAGUGAUGGAGUGGUACAUCCCAGUACCUCUCCUCUCCUCCUCCUCCUGCUGUGUCCUCCAUCACUCCAUUUCCUUUGAUUCUGUUUCUCCUUGAGGACGGAUUCAGGCCUUCCUGCAGAGCGUAUCUCUUGGUUUCUCAUCCUCCGUCUCUCCAGAUUCCUUCUUUGAAGGGUUACAAGGCAACAUAAAGAAGAAAGCUCAGGAAAACCUGCAGGAUUUCCUUGACCCCUUGAUCCCACGCCCACAUGGAAGCAAAAGCCAAAGGAGCAUCAAAGUCUGCCUCCAAAGCAGAGAAGAAGGAGGCAGCACCACCGCCAAAGCCAGACCCCAUCUCUGCUGAACCCACAGAACCCGAGAAUCCGGAGGAAGAUGGAGAAACCAAUCAACAGGGGACGGAGGAGUCCACGGGAUGUAGCUGUGAAGCCUUAGAAAGUUUAAAGCCUUUCCUGAUUGGAGGAGCUGUCAUCGCACUUGGAGCUGUAUUGGUGGGCGUAAUCUUAUUAGUCAAGAAAAACUGACACAAGGCCUACGAUGGUUGUUAAACAGUGGGGUUGUUUAGUUCACAGACUAUUAAAGUUUAUAUAAAGGGUUGGGGAGUCACUAGCGGGGUGAACAUACAUCCUCUUUGUCCAGAACUUAUCCAGGCCAGGAUUUCUAAAUUGCCUAAAAUGUCCAGAUUUUGACUUUGCUUUGCUAUUGUUUUCAUCCUUGCUGAAAGUCCUAAUUAAAAAGUAGUUUGACCAAUUGCGUGCAGACAUUGUACACAUGAUUGACCAAUUGUGACACACGAUAAAGCGAGAUCUACAAAGAACAGUCAAGACAAUGCAAAUAUAAUGUGUGAGGGCUGUGGAACACAUCAAUAGUAAAAAGAAAUCCUCAUCCAAAACUGUGACAUUUCAGGCAAUUUACAAAUCCCAGCCAGGUCAUGUCUUGGAAAAUAAUUAUGUAUGGUCACUCUAGUCGCUAGGCAUUUUUAUUUUAUGCUCUACUUUAAUUUUAGUGCUUGUGGUGAUGUUCCUGUCUGCUAUUAAAGCAAGCUAGAGAUGUAUUUAGGCCAAACACUUUUCAUAUAACACAGUUAUAGCCAAUGCACAUUUACACCAAAACUUUCAUUCAAGUCACUCUGCCUGACAGUCAAAAACAUCCUCAUCCAUGCCAUAUUGUUGAAAUUAAACCAAUUAUCCAUUAUUCUGCAGAUGUUUACAAUUAUUAAUUGUUAAAUAAUUGUUACCACAAUUAUACAAUUAUUUCAAGCUGGACUUAAGUCCAAACUGCCAACUGUAAGAUACAAUAACAUUAAGAUGCAUGAUUCAAGUUUAAAAAUACAGAAGUUUUCUGUCUUUUAUGGAAAUUAAAUGCUAUUUAUGUCUUGAUACCAAUAAAAGCAAAUGCUUGUGCAAAUCCAUAUGUACAUAUUAAGCCACUGACAUCUAUUACAGUUAGGCCUGUAUUGCUGAGAGAAAGUGUAGAAAUGUAAAGAUUCAAAUAUUGUACUAUGGGUUCAUUUUGUAUUUGACAUCACUUGCAAUCAACCAGAAACAAGACACUCAGUAAUUUAAUAAUCGUGCCUGUGUGAACUACAUACUGUAGACCAUCUGUGCCAUUUCAAAAUCUUAGUUUCUUGUUGGAACGAUGUUGACGAUUUGCUGAAGUGGGCCAAUGGGAAUAGAUGCGUGAUGCAACAUACUGUAGAUGCAACGUAGAUUAUGACAGCUCUCGGCCAGCAGCUUUAAUUUUGCUGUCACACUAUGAUGAGUGCUACACAAAUCAGAAACAAUCCCUAAAUGCAUGCAGACACAAACAAUAUACACCCACACGUCACAUGACAUACUGUUACAGAAAAUUACAUUUUCUUUAAAGUGCGUAUGUAAUGCAAUAAUUCAACUAGAACUCUGUAUUUAAAAGAAAGAAGACUGUAUAAGUUGCGAUACUGAUGGUAAUGAUGUGAAUGAAGAUGCGGCAACAUGGUGGUUAUCUUAGUGGUGGUGGUGGUGAUGAUGAUGAGUGAUUAUGAUUUUAUUUGUUUGUUCUAAUGAAGUUUACCUGUUCCUCUAAUGUGGCCCCUUUCCUCCUGCCAUAUGUAUUUAUUUUGCACACAACCUCGCCUGCUGCCUUUCUUCCUCGUGUGAAUUAAAACAAGAUGGCUCCCUUGUGACUUGCUGACCUUAUUAAAGGACAAUGAACAAUA